rfam:Cicer arietinum chromosome Ca1, whole genome shotgun sequence.
UGCUUUGUAUGAUGAUUCACAAUUUUACAGUUAUCCCUGGCUGAUAUAGCAGAUGCUGACAAUUUGUAAUCUGACAUUCAU